rnacentral:rRNA from 1 species
AGUGAACGCUGGCGGCGUGCUUAACACAUGCAAGUCGAACGAGAACGGAAUAAAGCUUGCUUUAUUUGUCAGCUAAGUGGCGCACGGGUGAGUAAUAUAUAGGUAAUGUGCCCUCUAGAGGGGAAUAACAGUUGGAAACGACUGCUAAUGCCCCAUAUGCCUUUAAGACAUAAGUCUGCAAGGGAAACGUUUUUUCGCUAGAGGAUCGGCCUGUACAGUAUCAGCUAGUUGGUGAGGUAAUGGCUCACCAAGGCAAUGACGCUUAACUGGUUUGAGAGGAUGAUCAGACACACUGGAACUGAGACACGGUCCAGACUCCUACGGGAGGCAGCAGUGGGGAAUAUUGCACAAUGGGGGAAACCCUGAUGCAGCAACGCCGCGUGGAGGAUGGCACAUUUCGGUGCGUAAACUCCUUUUAUAUAAGAAGAUAAUGACGGUAUUAUAUGAAUAAGCUCCGGCUAACUCCGUGCCAGCAGCCGCGGUAAUACGGGGGGAGCAAGCGUUACUCGGAAUCACUGGGCGUAAAGAGCAUGUAGGCGGGUUAAUAAGUUGGAAGUGAAAUCCUAUGGCUUAACCAUAGAACUGCUUCCAAAACUGUUAACCUAGAAUAUGGGAGAGGUAGAUGGAAUUUCUGGUGUAGGGGUAAAAUCCGUAGAGAUCAGAAGGAAUACCGAUUGCGAAGGCGAUCUACUGGAACAUUAUUGACGCUGAGAUGCGAAAGCGUGGGGAGCAAACAGGAUUAGAUACCCUGGUAGUCCACGCCCUAAACGAUGUACACUAGUUGUUGCGAUGCUAGACAUUGCAGUAAUGCAGUUAACACAUUAAGUGUACCGCCUGGGGAGUACGGUCGCAAGAUUAAAACUCAAAGGAAUAGACGG